AUUGAACGCUGGCGGCAGGCCUAACACAUGCAAGUCGAACGGAGUGGCGGACGGGUGAGUAAUGACUGGGCAACUGACUGAUGGAGGGGGUUAACAACCGGGAACGGAAGCUAAUACCGUCUUGCAUCAGAUGUGCCGGGGUAGGAAUAGCUAGGUGGUGGGGUAAAGGACUACCAAGGCGACGAACCGGAACUGGUCUGAGAGGAUGAUCAGUCACACUGGAACUGAGACACGGUCCAGACUCCUACGGGAGGCAGCAGUGGGGAAUAUUGGACAAUGGGCGAAAGCCUGAUCCAGCCAUGCCGCGUGUGUGAAGAAGGUCUUCGGAUUGUAAAGCACUUUAAGUUGGGAGGCGUUACCAACAGAAUAAGCACCGGCUAACUUCGUGCCAGCCGCCGCGGUAAUAC
rnacentral:rRNA from 1 species